UACGUAGGUGGCGAGCGUUGUCCGGAUUUACUGGGUGUAAAGGGCGUGUAGGCGGGGAUUCAAGUCAGAUGUGAAAUUCCGGGGCUCAACCCCGGCGCUGCAUCUGAAACUGUAUCUCUUGAGUGCUGGAGAGGAAAGCGGAAUUCCUAGUGUAGCGGUGAAAUGCGUAGAUAUUAGGAGGAACACCAGUGGCGAAGGCGGCUUUCUGGACAGUAACUGACGCUGUGGCGCGAAAGCGUGGGGAGCAAUCAGG
rnacentral:rRNA from 1 species